rnacentral:rRNA from 1 species
UACGGAGGGUGCAAGCGUUAAUCGGAAUUACUGGGCGUAAAGCGCACGUAGGUGGCUUGCUAAGUCAGCUGUGAAAUCCCCGGGCUCAACCUGGGCACUGCAGUUGAAACUGGCAAGCUAGAGUAGGGUAGAGGGGUGUGGAAUUCCAGGUGUAGCGGUGAAAUGCGUAGAUAUCUGGAGGAACAUCAGUGGCGAAGGCGACACCCUGGACUCAUACUGACACUGAGGUGCGAAAGCGUGGGGAGCAAACAGG